rnacentral:lncRNA from 1 species
AGAUAUCUCUCAACAUCCCUACUAUUAUACUUAAUAAUUUUAAAGAAUAAAUAAUUUCAUAAAUUUUAUAUUCAUGGGAUCCCACAUUUCGAUUGUGAGUGCUAUGUCAACCGCCGUGUCAACGGCUAUGUUUAUUUGGCUUUUUCCUUAUUGGUUAGACAAAAGGCGUCUUCAUAUUACAGUUUUAAAGAAAGAAUAUUUCUCGUGUUUUCUCUAUCCUCGUAUCAGAGCAAUUGACUCACGUCAAUGGGGAAAGAUCUAUUGGAACCACCGUUGAUCUCACGACGAAUGAGGCAGAAAUUGCAAUAGGAAGCUUUGCAGUUCCUUCGAUUGCAAUCUCUACUGGUGAUAGAGCUUCGAUCCUAUCAUCUUCGCAGAUCUCUCUCGCUGUAACCCUAAUUCCUGUUGCAAUGAAAGUAACAUGGAACAGUUACGAGUUUUGGAGAUCUCAGAUUCUUCCCAUUGUUCGAGUGUAUGAUCUCGAAGGAUUUCUAGACGGUACGAAAACUAAGCCUAAAAAUCUAUGUGAGGGCUCGAUGGAGAAGAAUCCGAUCGCUAAGCCUGCGGUGAUCGCAACUCAAAUCAAUCCUGAAUUUUUGGUUUCGAUGCGCAUCGUUCAACAGAUAUGAGUUAGUUACUUGCUUCCAUUUCCGAAUCUACUUUUGGUCAUGUUGUACGAUGUAGAUCAUCGUUGCUUUUUCUUC